rnacentral:rRNA from 1 species
GAUCCUACGGGAGGCAGCAGUGGGGAAUAUUGCACAAUGGGGGAAACCCUGAUGCAGCGACGCCGCGUGAGUGAAGAAGUAAUUCGGUAUGUAAAGCUCUAUCGGCAGGGAAGAAAAAAAUGACAGUACCUGACUAAGAAGCCCCGGCUAACUACGUGCCAGCAGCCGCGGUAAU